UGGGUGGUGCUAUCCGAGGUCAUCGAAUCCCUCUUUAUGUCUAUGCUAUCUUAUUGAGCAUAUCUAUAUAUGUGAAUUGUCAUGCCCCCGCCCCGAGGCCGAUACCAAUUUGGUCCGGUUCGGGCGCGGCGAACGGACCGCCGAACGGACAGCACCUCCCCUGUCCGCCCAAGGCUCGAACAACUAGAUUGUGUACAACAAGUUCCCAGGAAACAACUUGAAUACAUACACAAUCAUACAACAACCACGAGAGCACAAACAGUGCUUAUCAACUAAAGCAAGCAACACAUGUAAAGCAUACAAGUGAUAAAAGAGAGAUGUACUUAACUAUUAAUUCAUUUAACUUUAUACAAUUAUUUCAUCCUUUACAUUCUUCCAAAACGUAGGUACCAUACAUACAAUCUUCUCAAAACCUCACCCUAUACAUCAAUCUACUCUCAAACAUAAGUACAGUGUAGGGCUAAUGCAAAAGGAGGUAAGCUAGCUAUAUACAUAUACCGCUAGGGCGCUACGCCCUUGCCAUGAUCCUCACCGGGAGCGCUCGAACUCGGACCUGCAACACGGUGGAGUGAGAACUAUGAAUAGUUCCCAGUGGGUUCGGCCGCCGACUCGGCCGAUCUCCCUACUAGGUCUAAGCAGGUACAGAUAGAUAUGCAGAUAGACAGAUAUGUAAAACUGAAAGCAUUAGCAGUAAUGAGCAACUAUGAACUAUGAUCUAUCAAUGCCUCAAUCCAGUAUGAUGCAUGCAUGGGACUCAUAGUGAGAAGGCUGGCUAUCAUACUACCAUGCUCAAUAAUAAAAUCAUUCAUCCAAUUACCCAAUCUCUCGGCGAAUGCAAGGUUCGCUCAUGGUCUCACGUCUCUAAGUCUCAUAGGGGAGGUGGCUAGCUAUUCACCUACCCCGAGACCGCCUGUGGACACUACACUCGUCCAAGGGCACUACACUGGCCCCCUCGCGUGCCAAACUCCGGAGUGCACUACCUGUGAGGAGCUACCUCCACAGGUGCAGACAGGCUAAGUGAGCUCGAUCCAAUCUCAUAAACUGGGAACACCCUAACCAACUGGAAUUGGUGUCUCUAUAACAUCAGGUGUUCAUCUGCUCAAUCUCAUAGUGUCUCAACCACACUAAAGUUCUCAAGUUCAAUACCAAUUAGGUGCCACUUGUUUUGGGUUCACUGUUUACUAGAUGCCACUCGUUCUCUUGACAAGUUCUUGAUACACUAGUUUCCAAUACACUAUGUUCUUAUUCACAUAGACAUAUUCAUCACAUAUAGGGCGAACUAUCUCAUAAUAUUCUACUCAUGCAUACUAGGUUUUCAUUCAUUAUAUCCACAACUCGAACUAUCACUAGCAUGCAAAGAUAUGUACAAUCACAUUUAACACCCUAUAAUGCUAUAUUACAAUAUGUAAAUGAUCGACAAUGUUACUCAGACAUAAAGAGCAGCCCGACUGCUUCGGGAUGGCACUCCCCCACCUCGUGGCGAUGUCGUGAGUCUUCAAAUGCGAUUCGCCGACUUUUCGACGCCUCGUUGGCCUUCUAAGCGAGAACGAAGCUCCGAAGGUCUUCUUUGGCGAUAACUGUGCACCCACUCGACGGAUCGACGAACCGUCUUCGCCGACACGUUCAGAGACCUAGCAAUUAGGUUUGCGACCACUCAAAUUAGAUCAAAACCCUAAAUUUGCCAAAAUCCCAAAUCGAAGCCCUAGGUUUCAACAAUGGAGAAAUCCGCGGUGCGAGCUUCGAUUUCGAGCUCGAACCAUCUCCCUAACCUCCAUAGGUUCCAAUUGAACCAAUACCAAGCUACUAAAACCCUAGCUUACAAAACCCACCAUCAAAGGGUUUGGAGCUUACCUCUAAACAAAGCUCCAAGCUUGAAGAAGGAGAGAAGAAGAUGAUCCUCUUCUUCUUCUUAGCCUUCUCCUUCUUUUUUCUCUUCUUUUCCUUCCCCUUCUUCCACUCCUUCUUCUUCUCCUUCCUUUCUUUUCUAGAGAGAGAGAAGGAAAGAGUGUAAAAGGGAGAGAGAGCAAAUGAGAUGGAGAGAUGGGUCCCGAAGCCUUCAUAUAGGCCAUUUUGCAGAUAGCCCCCUCAACUUUUUAUUUUCUGAAACAACCCUCCUUGGGCCAUUUUCGCAGUGAGGGACCGGUCCCAGCUCAAGGAGACCGGUCCCCGAAGGCCUCCCAUUCGGAUAGAGGGGUUUUCGCGUUCGGGAACCGGUCCCUACUCGAGAGACCGGUCCUCGGGAGACCGGUCCUUGUCCGAGAGAGCAGUUCCCGAGAGCUAGAUUCUCGGGACUUAGCCAAAUUUCGGUUUGUCUAGUAGGGUUAAUGUUCGGGAACCGGUCCCUGCCUGCCAGGGACCGGUCUCAUCAGAGACCCCCGCAGCCCAGCCCGAUGGGACCGGUCCCUCCCUGCCAGGGACCGGUCCCCAAGAGCAUUUCUACUCCAGUGCUGUUUUUGCACUGGUGCUCUCGCGGACAUUUCCUCAAUGCACUUUAUGCAUUAUAACCACCUUCGGACUUUCCGAAGCUUACACACUCGACAAUUAGUCGAUUCCCAACGAAGUCUAAUCCCCGAAUUUCGAGAAUUCACUUCCCUUACAUGAAUUGUUUCAUAUUCAUGCAUUAUAGGGAAAAGUGUUAUUAUGCAAUUGAAUUUCUGUCAAUGUAAAGAACAUGUGGGCCAUAGAAUAUGAACAUAGAACUAUAUAAAUGUGUGAAUUUUACUGUGGACUAUGAUAAUAGUAAAUUUGGUCACAUCAUGACUAGAGAUUUGGUUAGCAUCGAGAAUGAAAUUGUAAAACUAGCAUAAAGAACUAGUUAGAGUUAAAGUGUGGCAUUGUCAUUUGUUGGGCCCUCUAAAGGAGGAUCAGAUCAUACUCACAAUAGUUUAUGUUCAAGGAAGGUCGCUCCUCCUUGAACGAUGAGCUCCGGAGUAGUCAUCUUAACUGGAUCAGGAGCUAGCGUCUCCCCCAGUAGACAGUCCCGUCGGG
rnacentral:lncRNA from 1 species